AUUGAACGCUGGCGGCAGGCUUAACACAUGCAAGUCGAGCGGAGUGAUGGUGCUUGCACUAUCACUUAGCGGCGGACGGGUGAGUAAUGCUUAGGAAUCUGCCUAUUAGUGGGGGACAACAUCUCGAAAGGGAUGCUAAUACCGCAUACGUCCUACGGGAGAAAGCAGGGGAUCACUUGUGACCUUGCGCUAAUAGAUGAGCCUAAGUCGGAUUAGCUAGUUGGGGGGGUAAAGGCCUACCAAGGCGACGAUCUGUAGCGGAUCUGAGAGGAUGAUCGGCCAAACUGGGACUGAGAAACGGCCCAGAGUCCUACGGGGGGCAGCAGUGGGGAAUAUUGGACAAUGGGGGGAACCCUGAUCCAGCCAUGCCGCGUGUGUGAAGAAGGCCUUAUGGUUGUAAAGCACUUUAAGCGAGGAGGAGGCUCUUUUGGUUAAUACCCAAGAUGAGUGGACGUUACUCGCAGAAUAAGCACCGGCUAACUCUGUGCCAGCCGCCGCCGUAA
rnacentral:rRNA from 1 species